rnacentral:rRNA from 1 species
GAUGAACGCUGGCGGCGUGCCUAACACAUGCAAGUCGAGCGGACAGACGAGGCUUUUGCCUGGCUGACGCGAGGGGCGGGCGGGUGAGUCACACGAGUAUAACUUACCUAUAAGACUGACAUCACUACGCGAAAGCGGAUAUAACAUCGGAGAAGAUAUUGAAGCGCAGGGGUCAUUGGACAAAGACGGCUCUGCUGGCACUAAUAGAGGGUUCCAGGCUGGAUGAGCUAGUUGGUAGGGUAACGGCCUACCAAGGCUAGGAUGCGUGGCCGAACUGAGAGGAUGAUCGGCCACACUGGAAGUGAGACACGGUCCAGACUCCUACGGGAGGCAGCAGUGGGGAAUGUUCGGCAAUGGGCGAAAGCUUGACACAGCAACGCCGAGUGUGUGAUGAAGGUCUUCGGAUCGUAAAGAUCUGUUAUUGGGGAGGAACCGCUGUGUACGUAGACAUGGCCGUCUUGACGGUACCUAAUCAAAAAGCACCGGCUAACUACGUG